rnacentral:rRNA from 1 species
AUUGAACGCUGGCGGCAGGCCUAACACAUGCAAGUCGAGCGAGCGGCGGACGGGGGAGUAAUGUCUGGGAACCUGCCUGAUGGAGGGGGAUAACUACUGGAAACGGCAGCUAAAACCGCAUACCAUCAGAUGUGCGCAGAUGGGAUGAGCUAGUAGGUGGGGUAACUGCUCACCUAGGCGACGAUCCCUAGCUGGUCUGAGAGGAUGAUCAGCCACACUGGAACUGAUACACGGCCCAGACUCCUACGGGAGGCAGCAGUGGGGAAUCUUGCACAAGGGGCGCAAGCCUGAUGCAGCCAUGCCGCGUGUGUGAAGAAGGCUUUCGGGUUUUAAAGCACUUUCGGCGGGGAGGCGUUACCCGCACAGGAAGCAACGGCUAACUCCGUGCCAGCAGCCGCGGUAAUUC